AUACGUAGGUGACAAGCGUUAUCCGGAUUUACUGGGCGUAAAGGGCGUGUAGGCGGUCUUGCAAGUCAGAAGUGAAAUUCCUGAGCUCAACUCGGGCGCUGCUUCUGAAACUGCAGGACUUGAGUGCUGGAGGGGAUAGCGGAAUUCCUAGUGGAGCGGUAAAAUGCGCAGAUAUUAGGAAGAACACCGGUGGCGAAGGCGGCUAUCUGGACAGUAACUGACGCUGAGGCGCGAAAGCGGGGGGAGCAAACAGGAUUAGAUACCCUGGUGGUCCACGCCGUAAACGAUGAAUACUAGGUGUAGGGGGUAUCGACUCCCUCUGUGCCGCAGUUAACACAAUAAGUAUUCCGCCUGGGGAGUACGGCCGCAAGGUUGAAACUCAAAUGAAUUGACGGGG
rnacentral:rRNA from 1 species